rnacentral:rRNA from 1 species
AUUGAACGCUGGCGGCAGGCCUAACACAUGCAAGUCGAACGGUAACAGGAAGCAGCUUGCUGCUUCGCUGACGAGUGGCGGACGGGUGAGUAAUGUCUGGGAAGCUGCCUGAUGGAGGGGGAUAACUACUGGAAACGGUAGCUAAUACCGCAUAAUGUCGCAAGCCCAAAGAGGGGGACCUUCGGGCCUCUGGCCAUCGGAUGUGCCCAGAUGGGCGUGGCUUGUUGGUGGGGUAACGGCUCACCAAGGCGACGAGCCAUAGCUGGUGUGAGAGGAGGAGCGGCGACCCGAGAAGUUGGACACGGACAAGGCGACUGCGGGAGGGAGCAGUGGGGAAUAGUGGACAAUGGGCGCAAGCCUGAUGCAGCCAGGCCGCGUGUAUGAAGAAGGCCUUGGGGUUGUAAAGUACUUUCAGCGGGGAGGAAGGGAGUAAGGUUAAUACCUUUGCUGAUUGACGUUACCCGCAGAAGAAGCACCGGCUAACUCCGUG